UAAUACGGAGAGGGCUAGCGUUAUUCGGAAUUAUUGGGCGUAAAGGGCGCGUAGGCUGGUUAAUAAGUUAAAAGUGAAAUCCCGAGGCUUAACCUUGGAAUUGCUUUUAAAACUAUUAAUCUAGAGAUUGAAAGAGGAUAGAGGAAUUCCUGAUGUAGAGGUAAAAUUCGUAAAUAUUAGGAGGAACACCAGUGGCGAAGGCGUCUAUCUGGUUCAAAUCUGACGCUGAGGCGCGAAGGCGUGGGGAGCAAACAGGAUUAGAUACCCUGGUAGUCCACGCUGUAAACGAUGAAUGUUAAAUAUGGGAAGUUUACUUUCUGUAUUAUAGCUAACGCGUUAAACAUUCCGCCUGGGGACUACGGUCGCAAGAUUA
rnacentral:rRNA from 1 species